UCCAUAUUAUUGUAACAUCCCAUUUUAUUUUUGUUUUAGUUUUCCCGUUCUAGAGAUACAGCGUGGAAACAGGCCUUUGGCCUACUUGAUCCAUGCUAAACAUUGACCGCUUUUUCACACUAGUGUCAUAUUAUCCACCUAUCACAUCUACUCCCUAUACACUCGGGGGCAAUUUUACAGAGGUCAAUUAAUCUACAAACCCACACAUGUAAGGGAUGUGGGAGGAAACCUGAGCACCCAGAGGAAACCCACACAGUCAGAGGGAUGGUAUAGCAAUUCCUCACUGACAGCACCCGGAGUGAGGAUCGAACCCAUGUCUCUGGCGCUGUGAGGCAAUAGCUGUGCCAUUAUUUUUACUCCGCGGUAACAGAAUAAUUUGAGUAUUCCAGGAGACCAGCAAUCUCUUUCAUCUCCAGUAGUUCCAACUUGCAUUGAGCGAUCAAUACACCUAUUUGAUCAAUGUGCUUGGUGGACUCCACUCCCUGUAGAUCACGACACACCUGAGGUUGUAGAGUGGACUCAGCAGCCAGGUACGACAGAUGGAACAAAGGCUUGGAAUAAGGCAACAGUGAAGGGAAGCAAAAUGGAUAACAAUCGAAUCUCUGUCAGGAAGGGCAGUUUCUCCAGGUGUAACAGUGAAUCUCCAGUUGGAGGUAAAAAUGGUGAAAAGAUAGUUUAAGCCCCAAAAGAUAGUUCCAACAUGGAAGAAACAGUUUGACAGGCACUGUACAUGGAUAGGACAGGUUUAGAGGGAUAUGGACCAAACGCAGGUGGGACUAGUCUAGUUGGGCUAUGUUGGCCGGUGUGGGCAAGUUGGGCCGAAGGGCCUGUUUCAUGCUGUAUGACUCUCUGAUAGAGCCGACAGUUGCUCUUCUGAUCGAUGGAUCAGCUGAUUAUUUGUCUACACUUUCUCUCUCCAGCUCUUGUUUUUCUUCUCUCGUUUUGCUGCCUUUUGUCUCCUGUGUUUUCCUCUCUCUCACUCACUCACUCCAUCUCUCUUCUUGCAAGCCAUCUUGCUUUUCAAACAUUGCGUGUGCUCUUUUCUCUGGACUUCUCCAUUCACUCGACACACGUGUAUUUCUCCCACAUUCUCUUUUCCUCUGUAACUGUGACAAACCUUUUGUUGUGCCCAGCUCCUUCUUGCUGGUUCGCAUGUUUGCCAGUACUUUUUGUCUCUCUGUUGUAUAUUCACUGUGUAGUUACCUGCGUCUCCACUUAUGUUUCUACUGUAUCAUUUCCUCUUUAAUUGUCUGCCUUCAUCUAGUUGUGUGUUAGCGUGUGUGUUUGUAUGUUUGUGUGCCUGUAUAUGUGUGUGUAAGUGUCCAAAAGUGUGCAUGUGCCUGCCUGCAUGUGCCUGCCUUCUUGUGCCUGCCUGCAUGUGUCUGACUGCUUAUGUAGUUGUGUUUCUGCCUGUGUGUGUGUCUGCCUGUGUGUGUGUCUGCCUGUGUGUGUGUGUCUUUGUGUGUGUGUGUCUGUCUUUGUGUGUGUGUGUGUGCCUGUCUGUGUGUGUGCCUGUCUGUGUGUGUGCCUGUCUGUGUGCCUGCCUGUGUGUGUGUCUGUCUAUGUGUCUGACUGUGUGUGUCUGACUGUGUGUGUCUGACUGUGUGUGUCUGACUGUGUGUGUGUCUGACUGUCUGUCUGUGUGUGCCUGUCUGCAUGUGCCUGUCUGCAUGUGCCUGAGUCUUUGUGGGUGUGUGUACCUUUCUCUAUUGCUUCAAGCUGUACACUGAUCCAGCUGUGUGCGUCUCCCUGUCUACUUGCCUCCGCCUCGUUCACUCUACCUCUUUCCCUCCCUUUCUCGCACCGUCUUUCUUUCACUCUGCCUCCCCUGACGUAUAUCAUCUCCUCGCCCCUUGUACAAGCUAUUCCUACAAACUGCUUUCAUUUUUACAAGGUAUUUGAAUGCAUUAAAGUGGUUGACUUUAAAAACUCGACUCAGGGCACAGCCAAAGGGAGCCUCUGGUGGAGUGGGCGUGCUUAUUACUGGGUCUGCUGGAGGAAGCAGCAGUCUGGCCUGUAUGGCCCCAUUCACCAUGAAACCGCAGGGAAACAGUGAAGCCAUUGACCAGCCUGACACCCGCGACUCACAUUCCUGAUCGAUGGUUGAACUCCCGUCUUUCCCCCUUCAAAGCUGUCCCCAGAGGCAGCUGUAGCUAAUAGGUGCAGUAACUUAUAACUUUUUCUUUACAAUCUCCCGGAUAUAACCCAACAUUAAUUCCUUUACUGGUUUAUUUAAAAGUAAAUUUAAUAACAACGUUUAAGAGACAUUGGGACCUGUGCAAGGAUUGGAAAGGAAUUAGAGAAAUGUAGGCCAAAUGCGGGAAAAUGGGACCAGCUUAGAUGGGAUGUUUUGAUCAGCAUCGAUGUGUUGGACUGAAAGGCCUGUUUCCGUGCUGUAUGACUUCAAACAUUUCUAUUAGAAUCAUGUUACUCGAGCCAGCCGCCCCAAACAUUGUGAAGACAGGGCUGACGUUAUCGCCAACCACAUUCCAGCCUCUCCUCCAUUGCCCUCAAUUCCAAACUUGUGUCUGUCCCGGCGUUGAAUAUAUCCACUGACUUGCCUCCCAUGCUAUCUCAGGUGCAGAAUUCCAAAGGGCAAUUGAUCCUCUGGAAAAUAAGACCCCUCCUCAUCUGCAUCUUAAGUGGAAGGAACAGCCACUAGUUCUGGACCCUGCACUAAGGGAACCUUCACCUCACCUUUUGUCUGUCAAGCUGAGCCAGGAUCACACACAUUCCAAUAACAUCACUGGUGUUUUUCUCCACUGCAGAGAUACAGUAAAACUCCGGUGAUUUGCUUUCUGACAGUUUUGGUAAUCCAAAGGAUUCAACAAUUGGCCUCAUGACUGCUGGUUCCCACACCUCUUUUCAGGUAGACUGGGGCCCCAAUUUCCACACUCCCUACACACACUGCACACUUGCCUCUGGUUAUUUUUCCCAUGCUGUCUUUAAUCUUUCUAGGAACUAUCUCCUGCUCACCAGAAUCCGCUUUUCCUUGUAUCCUCUGGACGAAUGUGGGAAAAAUAUUCAAAGGAUCAUGAUAUCAAGCCUUCUCUAAAUCAGUGAUUAAUUGCAGUAUUAGUCAGAUAUUUCAACUCUUCAGGGCUAAGAUACAAGUUGAUGUGAAAAUUGGGUUUACAGGUAUGGGUCAACCAUUUAAAUCCUCUAGCUAACUGUCUCAACAAUCCUACUGAAGUCAUACAACCAUACAGCAUAUUAACAAGUCCUUUAGCCUAUCUUAUCCAAUCCAACCAAGAUGCCCCAUCAACACUAGUCCCAUUGGCCGCAUCUCAUCCGUAUCCCACAUAACCUUUCCUAUCCAUGUACCUGUCCGAAUGGUGUUUAAAUGUUAUUAUUAUCCCUGCCACUAAUACUUCCUCUGGCACCUCGUUCCAUAUAAACACCGCCCUCAGUGUGGAAAAUGUUGCUCCCCAGGUUCCUAUUAAAUCUUUCCCCUUUCACUAUUGAUCAUUGGGUUUUAUUAUUUGACAUAUAAAUCAGGACUCACAAUUAAUAUGUCUCCGUUGUACUUCUGUUCCAACUGUGUCAAUUAACCCAGCGAGUACAGCUACAUCUCUGUAACACUGCCGCCAAGUGGCCAGUUCUACAGGAUCAUUAUAUCCAAGUUCAAAAUCUGUAGAUAUGUUAGCGUUCCUCCCCCUUGCCCUACUUUGAACCUGCCCCCAUCUCUGUGCAUUACAGAACACAACUUGCUGUCCAUUUCCUGCAGUGAUAAUUGCGUCUUGAUAACGUUUGUCACCGUCUCUCGUUAGUAAGCCAAGAUCAAUAUGUCAAUGGCAAGGGAGCUCAAGGCAUCUGGAGAUCACUAUUCUUGGAGAAACGUUCAAGAGGAACUGGGAGGGAGAAGUUCGCAGGGAAAGAGUGCAAAGAAUCAGAUGGCCGGUGUUAGUAAUGACCUGACUUUUGUUUUUGCAGGGACCGGCAAGGGUUCUAACUGACCCGGACUGAACUGCUCUAGAACCAGUACGGGUUCCUACAGGGGACAAACAUCCAGGUUCUGUAAAUUGCCUUGCGACAUAAUGUGCAUCGCCAUCUAAGGAAGCAUUGACUCACAUCACUAAAAAACUAGCAAAAAAAAAAAGGCAUGCAAUGUCUAGACCAGUGGGAUUCGUGACACAAGCUGGUGGAGUAGAUGGGAGUCAUCUCCCUUAACCACGGUCUCUCUGUGGCUUCCGGCACAGAGAGAGGUGGGGAGAUGCUAUUGGCACUAUUGUUCAGGGCCACAUUUCCCUGUCCCCUUGUCUCUCUCGCUCUCUCUCAACCGCCACUGAGUCCAGGGAACGGGGCAAGCAGGCUUCAAGGAAAGUGGAGGUCCCAUGACAGAGCUUCCUUUCCUGAACUUUGUCCAAUCCCAUUUUUAUCUUGGUUGGAGGUCUCGGCCUUUAAUCAGCAAUGUCCAGAGGUUGGCAGCUGGGUAUCUGCACCAUUAAAACCUCCGACUGUUGCAGCUGAUGUGCAUCCCUCUCUAUAUUGGUGGAACAGGACCACUCCUGGGAUGUGGUGCAUGGUGGAAGGUUCAUGGAUAACACUGGUCCAGACAAUGAAUGUCUGUCCUCUCUAGGUACCUGUACCUUUUGUUGGUGAGGGCCUUGGUCUGAACUUGCUUGUACAAUGGAGAAUUGUCCACAGAAGGGGAACGCUGCACAUGUGUAUUUUGUCUUCAUGAUCUGUUACCUUUGGCCAUGCCUGUCUGCCAUCUUUAUCUGAUAUUAUCUUUCAGAAUAACAAUAAGUGACCCUUGAGGAUAUUAACCCCUGACUGCUGAGAGAUACAGCAUGGGAACAGGCCCUUCCACCCACCGAGUCCAACGCUGAUCACCCCUUCACACUAGUUCUAUCUUAUCAUACUUUCUCAUCUACGUCCUGCACACUAAGGGCAAUUUACAGAAGUAUAUUUAUCCACAAACCCACACGUCUUUGGGAUAUGAGAGGAAACUGGAGCAUCCGGGAGAAACCCACACGGACCCAGGGAGAACGUGCAAACUCCACACAGACAGCACCCGAGGUCAGGAUCGAACUUGGGUCUCUGGUGCUGUGAGGCAGCGGCACUACCAGCUGUACUACCCUGUAAUCUUACAACUUACCAAGUCCCUUAAUUUAUUUUUUUUACUUUCCGCUUUGCCUCGCUUUAACAUAAUCUAACAUGACUGGCCUGAUUAUUUUCCUCUCUCUUUCUCUCUCCCUUCUCUCUUUCCCAUAUUUUUUAGGCAAUCUAAGUGGCAGCCCCUGAGACCAAGGAACCUCUUGCCCCUCCUUGAAACUCUAGUCUGUUUUAGCUUGCUGUGCGUCAAGUCUCCUCCGCAUUCUGUCUAUUCCGAAAUGAAACUAUAUAAAUAUAUAUAUCACGUGUGCUGGCGUCUGCAUAUCUUUGAUGUUGCACAAAUCUGGGGAAUAGAGUUCCUGCUGUAUAAUUCUUUUACUAUCUCUUGCUCUCUGUAAGAGCCGUUUUGUUAAGCCUGUUCUCAUUGUGUUUAUACGUGUUUCAGGGAGAUAUAAAAUAAAUUUGUCAUGCUUUUGUGUAGAGUUUUAGUUUAAAUGAAACUGUGAUGGUGUAUAUUAAUACAGUAAAUAUCUGGUAUACAAGCAUAUGAUUUGAAAUGUGUGUAUAUGAUAUUCAUGGUGAAACAAAUUAAAUCUGAUGCUAAAGUUGUAUUUAUGCUUUGAAAGUGACCUGUGGCAUAUACAAAAAUGACAUAUCUGUGUAAUCAAAGUCUCCUUUAUUUAAAUAAACUGUGUUUCUUUGUGGAG